CAGUCGCCGCGGUAAUACGUAGGUGGCAAGCGUUGUCCGGAAUUAUUGGGCGUAAAGGGCUCGCAGGCGGUUUCUUAAGUCUGAUGUGAAAGCCCCCGGCUCAACCGGGGAGGGUCAUUGGAAACUGGGAAACUUGAGUGCAGAAGAGGAGAGUGGAAUUCCACGUGUAGCGGUGAAAUGCGUAGAGAUGUGGAGGAGCACCAGUGGCGAAGGCGACUCUCUGGUCUGUAACUGACGCUGAGGAGCGAAAGCGUGGGGAGCGAACAGGAUUAGAUACCCGCGUAGUCCCUGUCUCUUAUAC
rnacentral:rRNA from 1 species